UACGUAGGGUGCGAGCGUUAAUCGGAAUUACUGGGCGUAAAGCGUGCGCAGGCGGGGAUGUAAGACAGUUGUGAAAUCCCCGGGCUCAACCUGGGAAUUGCAUCUGUGACUGCAUCGCUAGAGUACGGUAGAGGGGGAUGGAAUUCCGCGUGUAGCAGUGAAAUGCGUAGAUAUGCGGAGGAACACCGAUGGCGAAGGCAAUCCCCUGGACCUGUACUGACGCUCAUGCACGAAAGCGUGGGGAGCAAACAGG
rnacentral:rRNA from 1 species